rnacentral:rRNA from 1 species
GAUCAUGGCUCAGAACGAACGCUGGCGGCGCGUUUAAGCAUGCAAGUCGAGCGGCAAGGGCCUUCGGGCCCCUAGAGCGGCGGACGGGUGAGUAACACGUGGACAAUCCUGCCCCCCGGCCCGGGAUAGCCCCAGGGAAACCUGGAUUAAUACCGGAUGAGACGGGACCCGCGAUGGCGGGACCCGGGAAAGGCGCUGCGGCGCCGCCGGGGGAUGAGUCUGCGUCCCAUUAGCUAGACGGCGGGGUAACGGCCCACCGUGGCGACGAUGGGUAGCCGGCCUGAGAGGGUGGACGGCCACAUUGGAACUGAGACACGGUCCAGACUCCUACGGGAGGCAGCAGCUAAGAAUCUUCCGCAAUGGGCGAAAGCCUGACGGAGCGACGCCCGCGUGAACGAAGAAGGCCGUGAGGUUGUAAAGUUCUUUUCGGGAGGGGGAACAACCGUGGCAGGGAAUGGCCGCGGGAUGACGUGAAUCCCGGAAUAAGCCCCGGCUAACUACGUGCCAGCCGCUGC